CCCUGCGGAGGAAGAAUGUUCUUAGUAUUUCAGGGCAUUCUCAUCCAGGGCCGUGCCCUUCCUCUCGAGUCUGGUUUUAGAAAGUGGUACUCAUUCUCUUCCCGCCCCUUGCUGUUUUUGAGAUGCCAGGAUUAAAUGGGAUUGAACCCAGGGCUUCCCGCAUGCUAGUGACUGUUUUCUUCAGUCUGCUAGCAAGACUGUAGGAUUCUGGAGCUUUCGUGGGCACAGCCCCACAAAGAUGCUGAGGGCACAUGAUGAACAGAGCUAGCAGGAUAGACACUGUAACAAGUGCUCACUCACUCUCCAAGAAGCUUCCUAGCUGCUCAGUGAACCAAAGAUCCAUGAAGCUUCUAGUGCUGAAGCUGGGUAUGGUGUUUGGCUGCAUGUAUACCUCUACAUCACAUGAUGUACCCACGGAGGCUAGAAAAGGGCUUUGGAUCCCUGGGAUUAGAGUUACAGAGGGGUGUGAACCACCCUGUAGCAGGUCCUCUGGAAGAAUAACCAGUGCUCUUAACAACUGAGCCAUCUUUCCACCCCGCUUUCCAAUUUUGUCCAAAUCCCAGAACGUUGGGACACAGUAUGGCUGCCAACUGCAAAUGUAGACAUUUUCCUUUAGUUAAACAGCAUUACUGGAAGAAACGGGGCGGGGCGACAGAGGGACCUGCAUCGGAGGGAAUCAGUUAACUAGAGUGCUGGGACUCCUGCAUGAACCUGUCCAGGCCCUGAGCAUACAGCCACAGCUCUCUGUGAGUUCAUAUGUGCGUGAACCCUACUGUGUGCCGAGAGGACUGCUUCACUGAAGUCAUCCCCUCUAGCCCUUACAAUCUUUCCUCCUGCACCAGAAGAGGGCAUCAGA